rnacentral:rRNA from 1 species
UACGGAGGGUGCAAGCGUUGCUCGGAAUUACUGGGCGUAAAGCGCGUGUAGGCGGUCUUGUGUGUCUGACGUGAAAGCCCCGGGCUCACCCCGGGAAGUGCGUUGGAAACUACAAGACUAGAGUCCCGGAGAGGAAGGUGGAAUUCCAGGUGUAGCGGUGAAAUGCGUAGAUAUCUGGAAGAACACCGGUGGCGAAGGCGGCCUUCUGGACGGUGACUGACGCUGAGACGCGAAAGCGUGGGGAGCAAACAGG